GAGUUUGAUCCUGGCUCAGGACGAACGCUGGCGGUGCGCCUUAUGCAUGCAAGUCGAGCGAAGCUUUUCAGUAGUUUACUACAGAAAAUGACUGAGCGGCGAACGGGUGAGUAACGCGUGAGCAAUCUACCUUAGUUACAGGGAUAGCCCGAGGAAACUCGGAUUAAUACCUGAUAUUCUUUACAUUUCGCAUGAAAUUAAAAGGAAAGGUCAGCCGAACUAAGAUGAGCUCGCGUUCUAUCAGCUAGUUGGUGAGGUAAAAGCUCACCAAGGCAACGACGGAUAGCUGGUCUGAGAGGACGAUCAGCCACACUGGGACUGAGACACGGCCCAGACUCCUACGGGAGGCUGCAGCAGGGAAUAUUGUGCAAUGAACGAAAGUUUGACACAGCGACACCGCGUGUGGGAUGACGGAUCUAGGUUUGUAAACCACUUUCAGGAGGGAAGAAAAUGACGGUACCUCCACAAGAAGCCCCGGCCAACUACGUGCCAGCAGCCGCGGUAAUACGUAGGGGGCGAGCGUUGUCCGGA
rnacentral:rRNA from 1 species